GAGAAAGUGGAGCAAUCCACGAGUAAAGUGGCGUACGGGUGAGUAACACGUGGAUCAUCUACCUCUUGGUGGGGAAUAACCCUGGGAAACCGGGGCUAAUACCGCAUAAGCCUGCGAAGGGAAAGCAGCAAUGCGCCGAGAGAGGAGUCCGCGGCCGAUUAGCUAGUUGGUAGGGUAAUGGCCUACCAAGGCAAUGAUCGGUAGCCGGCCUGAGAGGGCACACGGCCACACUGGCACUGAAACACGGGCCAGACUCCUACGGGAGGCAGCAGUGGGGAAUCUUGCACAAUGGAGGAAACUCUGAUGCAGCGACGCCGCGUGAGCGAUGAAGCCCUUCGGGGUGUAAAGCUCUUUCGACGGGAACGAUAAUGACGGUACCCGGAGAAGAAGCUGCGGCUAACUACGUGCCAGCAGCCGCGGUAAUACGUAGGCAGCAAGCGUUGUUCGGAAUUACUGGGCGUAAAGAGUGUGUAGGCGGUUCUCUAUGUUCGGUGUGAAAUCUCCCGGCUUAACUGGGAGGGUGCGCCGAAAACUGGAGGGCUUGAGUAUGGGAGAGGAAAGCGGAAUUCCUGGUGUAGUGGUGAAAUGCGUAGAUAUCAGGAGGAACACCUGCGGUGUAGACGGCUUUCUGGACCAUCACUGACGCUGAGACACGAAAGCGUGGGUAGCAAACAGGAUUAGAUACCCUGGUAGUCCACGCCCUAAACGAUGCAUACUUGGUGUGAGCCGUUCAUUCGGUUCGUGCCGGAGCUAAC
rnacentral:rRNA from 1 species